rnacentral:tRNA from 1 species
UCCCUGAUGGUCUGUUGGUUAAGACUCCGCACUUCCACUGCAGGGGGUGUGGGUUCAAUCCCUGGUCAAGGAA